CUUGUAGCUGCACUUUUAAUUCUUUUAAUUCUGUGGGAGCCAUCCUAUAAGGAGCAAUUGAUAUGGGUGUAGUGCAUGGUACAACUUCUAUGGCAAAUUCUACUUCUCUUUCUGGAGGUAAUCCUGGUAAUUCGUCUGGAAAGACGUCAGAGAAGUCGCAAACAGUAGGUAUAUCUUGCACAAUAUGUUUCUCCUUCUUAGCCUCCAGAACACAGGCUAAG
rnacentral:lncRNA from 1 species